GCAAACUUGGUCAUUUAGAGGAAGUAAAAGUCGUAACAAGGUAUCUGUAGGUGAACCUGCAGAUGGAUCAUUUCGAUGAAAACCUUUUUUCUGAGGUGUGGCUCGCACCUGUCUAACUAAACUUGAGCUACCUUUUUAACACGGUUGCAUCGGUUGGGCUGUCGAAUAGCGCGAAAGCGGUAAGCGAUGGUCUGACAAUCAAUUUAACACUUUUGAUGAUCUAGGAUUUGAAGGAAGUUCAUUUUUACGAUGGAACCGACUGGUAAUGCGGUCGUCUAAAUCUAAAAAACAACUUUUGGCAACGGAUCUCUUGGUUCUCCCAUCAAUGAAGAACGCAGC
rnacentral:misc_RNA from 1 species